GAGCCCCCAGUUCCCCAGCCCUCUAGCCUGAUUGCUCCUUCCCUAAUUCAUUGCACAAGCUCCUACGCUUCUAGUGUCCGCGCUCAUCGCCUCUAAUCCUGCCUGAUUGUCUUUACAGAUGCUCUGAAUUGGUACUGGCCCCUCUCUAACCGGCCAGUGCUGUCUCUGACCAGGCUUGUACUAGCAGCUCACAGCUCCCUAGCCUAGUAGGCAUCCCUAGGUGUGGCUUACCUCUCCACUGUCCAGCUUUGUGUAGGCCAACUGACUGGUAAUUCACUCAUCCCAAAAGCUGCUCUGUGAGGACCACAAUCAUUAGCACAGGUCUGGGCAUUGGGGAUUUACCGAUUCCAUGCCUUACAGUGGACAAUAAACAUCAACUUUAGAGAGGGCGUAGUCUGAGGCCAUUUGGUGGUAAUCCCUCCUAUCCCUCAUGAUUCCUUCUGGAAAAGCUUUUGUAAUUCUGACUUAGUAACUCAAAUAGAUAGCAAAAUUGUAUGCAGAGGGCCUCUCUGCACCCGUUAGUCAUCAAUGACUAGAAUAAUGUCUUUAACAGCUAUAAACCCAUUGACUUUUAAGUAUUAUAAGUAAACAUCAUAUGGGACAACCCUGACUUUCUAUACCCUGCUGUCUGAAACACAGAGAGCAUUUCAGAACCAUAACUCCAAUGCCUUGUACUUUUUCUUUGGGGGGAAAAGGCUUGUAUAAGUUUCAUCAACGCCAAUAAACAUGUUGCUUCCCACUAUGGAUUGGCGUGGUUCUUCCGCAGGGUACUUCGCUGAGCGCAGUGAACUUUUGCUGUUUGUGAAAGCAAUCAGGCUGGGUUUAAAUGAGGACUUGUCUCUUUUUGAGCAUUGUGAGCGUGUAAGGAAAUGAGUGUUUUCUUUGUGAACCAUUAAAUUUAUCCCUGAACUUC
rnacentral:lncRNA from 1 species